AAUGAACGCUGGCGGCAUGCCUAACACAUGCAAGUCGAACGAGACCUUCGGGUCUAGUGGCGCACGGGUGCGUAACGCGUGGGAACCUGCCCUUAGGUUCGGAAUAACUCCCCGAAAGGGGUGCUAAUACCGGCUAAUGUCUUCGGACCAAAGAUUUAUCGCCUUUGGAUGGGCCCGCGUUGGAUUAGCUAGUUGGUAGGGUAAAAGCCUACCAAGGCGACGAUCCAUAGCUGGUCUGAGAGGAUGAUCAGCCACACUGGGACUGAGACACGGCCCAGACUCCUACGGGAGGCAGCAGUGGGGAAUAUUGGACAAUGGGCGAAAGCCUGAUCCAGCAAUGCCGCGUGAGUGAUGAAGGCCUUAGGGUUGUAAAGCUCUUUUACCCGGGAUGAUAAUGACAGUACCGGGAGAAUAAGCUCCGGCUAACUCCGUG
rnacentral:rRNA from 1 species